GGCGUCAACCGGGGCCGGUUCGCCGACGGAAGGAAAAGGGUCGAUCGGAAGAUCGACGGCGGGAGCGGGGGCAGUGUCGGCGGGGUUGGUGGAGGAGGGGAAGGCGUCGGGGAGGGCGUAGACGCGGAGGGCGAUGUCGCCGCGGAUGUGGGAGAAAAGGCCGCGCUUCUCGAGGGGGAAGCGCUGGGCGACGGCCUCAGCGGCGGAGGGGGCGACGGAGACACCAGAGAGGCGGACGCGGCCGAGGAAGUUGCGUUGGUUUCCGCCGCCGCCGCCAACGGACGAGGCCCUGCCGCGGUCGUGGUAGACGGAGACGUCGAUGGUGCGGUGGGGGAGCUGCGAGGGGUCGGCGACGUUGAACACCAGCGUCUCGUUCCAGGCCGGGCUGAGGUCCUUCUGCUUGGUCUGGGUACGCUGCCGCUGCCCCUCGAACUCCACCUCCACGAACGCGCUCGCCGACCCGUGCCCGUCCUUGGGCAUCAGGUCCGCCGCGUCCGCCACCUCCACCGCCACCUUCAUCUCUCUCUCUCUCUCUCUCUCUCUCUCUCUCUCUCUCUACUNNNNNNNNNNNNNNNNNNNNCUCUCUCUCUCUCUCUCUCUCUCUCUCUCUUCUCGACUACAGAGAGCUCGCUCGGGAGUCGCAGAAGACGAGGGGGCGGAAAAGGGUGGUGUGGUGGAAUUAUGGUAGAGCGAAAGGAAAGACUGAGGGUGGGGGCCGCUCGUCGGUGCUGUCCAUGUGGCUGCAUGGUGGUGGGGUCGGGGAUUUCUGCAUAAUGUUCUGUCGAAAAAAAGGCUGCUGAUUCUGCAAGUUGUGUACUUUCACCGAACCCCCAAAUUAAACAGAGAAGCCCACUUGCUCACCAGAAACUUCCAUCUCCCAGCACAGCGGAUGAGGGAGGAGUGCAGAAGAAGCGUAUGUUGGAGCCAUCAAACUCCUCGUCGUCGGAUUGUAAGGUCGAGACAUCAUAUUAGAUUCAAAGAUCCGAUCGAGUGUAGAAGUUUCCAGUGGAGUCAUCCGAAUUGGGAUACCGACAUGAAGAAGAUGCAUAUGCAAGAAUCGAUUUCCUCACGAGCAAUGGCGUCUGAAUGAUUCCGAAAUGAGAGGAACCAUUAGGACUUUGUCAUGGUUUGCUCCUCACUUUCGAUUAGAUUGGUAUGCAACUUUUCCCAAAUGGCUCCACUUGUCCAUCUGAACUUUCUGCUAAAGAUUCAAAGCUUUGGAACGUUGAUCGAUUCUGUGCAUCCCUAAAGCUCCAAGUAAAAAGGUUGGUGGUCUCUUUAAUGCCUCUUUCUUUCUCCUUUGAAUCCUCCAUGAAUCAAUCAUCCACUACCCAAAAGUAUCAUCCAUCAGCAAAAGCAUGUAUGGCGAUCUGCGCAUCUGCACUUGUCGUCCUUGUUCUCAGGUGAUGCCAGGACAAGCAGCACUUAGGUUAAUUCCGACCAUAGUUCUAUGAUUUCGAGCCGAAUCGAAAACAAUAUUGAACGGUUCUAUUCCGAUUUAUUUUUAAAUUAAUUAAAAAUUAAUAAAAAUAAGAAAAGACGAUUCUAAUUCGAAAUCGGAAUCGGUGGUUGUGAAACCUCAAUCGAAAUUGACAGCUUCAUUUAGAUUCAAUUUCAAAUUAGCUAAAAAUAUUUAAUUUAAAUAAUAAUAAUAAUAAAUGAUAAUUCUAAUUCUAAACCGCAUGAAACCUCGAUACCAAUUUUCUAUCCAUCUGGUUUUGCUUCCACUGUCUACCAAACUGAGGCCGAUGGUUUUUUGGAACCAUCAUUUAGUCUACCACAAGUCAAAAGCUUCUCCUCGCAGCACAUAGAGAGAGAGAGAGAGAGAGAGAGAGAGAGGAUUCAUCGACUGUUUGCCCACAGUUUGGAAGGGCGUAGAAGAUGGUAACGUGAUCGUCCACAAACAUGACUCGAGCAAUUGUUUACGUGGGGAUCACUUCCUCCAUGAUUUCAACGCCAUCUACAUGGAAGUCAGGACAAGACACCACCAUGAUAAUUAUUAACAGUAGUAUUUGAUGGUUGGUAUAUCACAUCCUGGAGAAUUAUCAUAAAAAUAUUACUUAUAAUUAUUAGUUAACAGAGAAUAUAUAAUUAGUGUGUCAUCGUCUAUGACGUAACCAUCACAUAAAAAUCUACGAGAGAAAAAAAUUCAUAAUCUAUCACCCUCCGAAGGAUAGUUCGAGAUGAUUAAGAUAUCUCCCCUAUAGAAUAUUUAUGAAAGUUUAAAAGGUAGUUCAGAGGCCUUACGAAAUCUUCAUGAAAAUAUUUAAUCUCUCCGAUGUCAGAUAUAAAAACACAUCCUCAUCUUCAAAUAGGAAGUACUGAAAUCGAGAACAUAAACUCAUAAAAGUUGAUUUCGAGAUUGAUUUAAGAAUGAUUGACUCGGGAAGCUUCUCUCACCUUUAGUCUUUGUGCAUGUAAUAUCUUGGAAGGAGACGCAUUUCACCUUAGAUAAUUCUAUACAUAUGGAUUGGGGCUACGUCAAGCUGACAAGGAUGUCAACAAUAUUUUUCUUUAAUAUUAAUCAUUUAAUUUUUUUAAAUUUAUAAUUAUAUGGUUAAAUAAUAUCAUGAGUUUUAAUUAUUUUUCAUAUCAACUUACAUUAUAUACUUACGUUUUAUUUAUAUGUCAAACCUAGAUUAGAUUCUUAAUGAGAGGAGAUGCUAAAAUGGAUCCCCUCAUCUAAAUAUUUAGAAUUUAUGAUCACUUAAUUAAAUUUGUGAAGGAAAAGAAUAUGAGGAAUAAGAAAUAAAAAGAGAAGUUUUUGCACAUUAUCAGUCUCAUAAGGAAAUAAUAUUGCCAACGUCAUCACUGCGGAUGCAAAUGGGUAAAACCCUAAAAAUAAUAAUCUUCCUCUCUCAAUCAUAGGAUCAUAGGUUUGGUUGGAGGAGAUGAAUCUCACAUGCUUUGUUCCCCAAAAGUAUAUAGCUUCCUUUUACCUCAUUUAUCUCUAUUAGGGUUGUUAAAUAUUAUUUUGGUACAACAUAUUACUUAAUCAUGUACAUAUUGCCUAAUCGAGCUUUUUAAUUUAGUACAUAUUACCUAAUCAAGAAGGAAUGAAGAACAAGACAGAUCCAUACUAAAAAUUAAUAAUCUAUUACGUUGCUAAUAUUUUGUGUAUCUCAAGACUUUUGAUAUUUCAUAUUCCAAGGUCAAUACUAUUUAAUUAAAUAUUUUUUUCCUAAGCAUGCUAAUAGGGAUAUUAAGAGAAAAUUUGUUUCUUCUGACUAGAGAGGGUCAUUUACCUCUUAACUAUUUGGACACCUUAUAAUCGCUUGAGAUAAUAACAUCAUUUUGAUUAAUUUUAUGCUUACUUAUAUUCUCCUUCAUUAAAUGUGAUUUGAAUACCAAAAGAUAUCUGGAAUAGGAUCAUUCAAUUAUGACGAAUUUCUUAUAGUAUAACUCUGAUAGGAUAAGGGAUCUUCAUUUAUUAUUGAUGAGUUUGAAUAUUCUCUUUAGGGGACAACCUUUGGAUUCAUGUGGUCAGGAUUAAAUAUGAUACUGUAAACCCUUGGAACAUUCAUAAUAAUGCAAAUACUAGCUAGUGUUGAAAAUUAGAUUUACAUGAUCUUGCUUUCCUUCGUGAUGACAUAAAAUUUGUAUUUCUAUCCAGAUGAUCCGUAGAUUACACAUGCUUCAUUAAACUAUUUACUGACUUUAGAUAAUAUUUUCGAAAUUGAUUCAUCUCCAUGGUAAUGGGUUUUAUUACAAAUGGUGUUUUGGAUGUUGAUAAGUUUUGUGUGACUUUUGGGGAGGACUGACAUCAAAAUUUUUAUUUUAAAAAAUAAAUUAUAAUGAGAAUGUUUCUACAAAAUCAACUCUUCUCUUCUAUCCUAUGGGGCUUGAUUAUUAGGGGGGAUUGGUGGCACUGCUUGUAGAAGCUACCCUUAGUAUCUCUAUGGGUUUAUGAUAGAUUUGGAGGGCAUGUAAUGAAGCUCUCCAUUGUAAUUUUAAUUUUUCUAUUUUCAACAUUUUGCACUUGAUUGUGAUUCUAAAUCUUGACUUAUGACAGAACCAAAGUUCCUGAUGGGGAGAAAGGUCCCCAACAGAGGAUCUUUUUGUAUAAGGGUUAAAUUGAACUAUAAUAAUUUAAGGGGAGGGGAUCAUAAGGGAGGUGUUAGAUUUAUUUGAAGUAACGAGAAUAUUGAUUCAAUUUUUGUUAGUUGCAAGUUCUUGGAAAAUAGGGAUGUCUUGUACUACAAGGCUAUGGCAAUUCUAGUGAGGCUUCAAGCAAGUUUGGCUGGAGAGUUCUACAAAUACAUAUGGAAUCUGAUUCAUUGGCUCUCAUUGAUAUUUUGAAGCUUAAUUAUCUCAUUCUAUAAUCCAUUAAAAAUAUUAUUUUACAUAUUUGAAUCUUACUGGAUUUGCUUCCGUAUAUAUAGGGUGGAAAAUAAAACAGCCAACUAAUUAGCUAGAUAUAUUAGAAGUCCUCAUCUUUUUUCAUUUUGAAUGAGGGAGUAAAUGUUAAAUCUCGGAUUUUGAUGAUGAAAUUAAUUGAUAGUGUUUAUGAUUUGAUCUACGUUUUGAGUGACGCAGGAAGUUUCGAUUAGGAUGAGACAAUUAAAGCAAGAAGAAUCAUGUUGGGCCAAAGGAAAACAUGUCAUAAGAUUGGACGUCGAUCCGAAGGAUCGGUCGAUGUAUCGAUAGAAGGCUUCAGGCCAAAAAGAGCGGAUACUACGUCAAGAAUAACGGAGUUACGGAGGUCAACUGGCCGAUUGGGCAAUAGGCCACAAGAGAGGAUGAUGCGUCGAAGAAUCGGACGAAACAUCGAUGGACCAAUGACAUGCCGGAUAACAUGAUUCAAGCUUAGUAAUAAUUAUCUAGAUCGAAGUGUGUUUUUAUGUAUGUAGGAUUAACUACGAUAGUAAGACAUAAAGCAAAAUAAAAUCCUGAAGUUAAGAACGUGAUUUAGUUGGAAGUUCCAGAGUUUAUCGGAUGUUAGACAUUCGUCAGAAGUUCUAUAGGAACCAACCAAGAAGUCCAGGAGCUUACCAAAGAAGCUCGUCGAAACUCGCCAAGAAGAUCGUCGUGAAGUCCAGGAGCUUGCUGGGAGUCCGCUGGAACAUUAUCGAGAGAUCGUCGAAAGUUCGUCGGAAGUUCGCCGGAAGAUCGCUAGAAGCUCGCCGGAAGAAACCUAGACUUACAGACUUGUUUGGCUUAGUAGAUAUCUUAAAUUCCAUAGUUAGCACAUAAUUAGGAUUGAAAUUGGACCAACCCAAUUAUAAGCUAAUUGGGCUCAUGUAAGGACUGUGUUGGGCCCAAUGAAAGACCCAAAUAGUGAUAUAAGAGGUGGCACUAUCGUAGCACAAUCUCUGAGACUGUGUCAAGCGGUGGUACCGCCCAGACACAGUCUCCGAGAGACUGUCAAGCAGUGGUACUGACAGUCUGGGUGAUGGUACCGCCCAGUAUCUGGGUGUCAGGCGGUGAUACAACGGGCAGUAGUACCGCUCAGUGCAGUGUCGGUGUCAGACUAACACUGGUGAUGGUACCGCCCGUACCCAGGAAAUCCGGGAUGAGAUAUUUUUAGGCUCCAAGUUUGAAUCAACUUGAGGCCUAUAAAUACCCCUCUCAUCCCUGGUUAAAAUACAUAAGUAUUGAGAGUGAAAAAGAAAGAAAAUACUAAUACAAUUUUGUGUGAACUCCUCUCAAAGUUCUAAGUGUUAGAAUAGUUUGAGAGAAGAGUAAGUGGGGGCAUAAGGGUUAUCUCCUAAACCCGAUAAAAGGAGAAUCGAGAUGUAAAAGGUGGUUGGUCUUCGCCUAUUAAAGGAAGACUGAUAGUGGAUGUUGGUGGCCUCGACGAAGGAGGAAUCGAGAGUGGAUAUAGGUCACAACGAUCAAAACACUAUAAACUCGGUUUGCAUUUAGUUUGAGCAAUUUACUUUUAUAGCAAAUUACAUCUCCUCCUUACUAUGCUUUUACUACAUCUACACUUGCAUAGGCUUUCAAGUUAAUAUCUUCCGAGAUCGAUUUUAGUCGCACGAAGAGAUUUUUCGAAACCGAUGUGAUUUUACCGCUGUACUAAUUCAUCCUCUCCUCUUAGUGUCGACUUGUUCUUAACCGUAACCUCCUCGAUUAAUUUUUUUUUUUGCUAUUCUAUAAUACUAUGGAUGAUUUUUAUAAUGCCUAGAUAUAGUUACUUAAAUAUGCUAGUUUUGAAUGUUAACUUUUCUUAGUAAAACUAGAUAUCAUAAGAGGAAUAAUAAUUUAUUUACAUGAGAAGUACAUUUUUGGCAUCAUGUUUGAGAUAAGUUACUAUAUUUCUAGUUUUAGAAAUUAAUAAUACAGAUAACAUAUAUCAAAUCACGUAAAUAUUAUGUUCAAUAUUUUUGUUGAUUCUUGGAUUAUUCUUUUGGUAGGAGAGACUUCCCCCUCACCUAACUUGUUCUUACAAUAAGUAGUUGAAUCAUUAUUCUUUUAAGUUGUAGUCUCAUUAGGAAGAAGCUAAAACAAAUAUGAUAGAUAGUGAAGCAAUUUUAACUAGGAAGGUAGAAGAGAAAAUAAAGUGAAUGAGUUGUUCAAGCAUAUGAUAGCCCAAAGUGCAUAAGUACUCAUUGUAGCAGUUGAAAUCACACAUAUUCCUCCAACAAUGAGGAACAUUAGAAAACAAGGCAACCAUUUGGGACCUACAUUGAUGUGUACUCUUCACCUGUCUUCAUUAUUUUUUGUGUCUUCUCCCUCAAUAUUUAUCCACCAAAGUUGAUGUUGGUUGGUCAAUGUUGCGUAGGACUACUCUCUAUAUUGUAUGCACCUCACUCGCUCACAUGCAACCUCACUGUGCCAGCUUUUGGCACCCUCCAAUGGUUGGUGCUUUGUCCAAACCUUCGGUCCCAAUUCCCUCUUUUGAUUCUAUUUCUCUGUGUUCGUUUCCACAUCAUGUCAGUCUCUUUGUAGAUGUUAGGAGCAACACUACUUCGUGUUUAAAGAAGAGAAGCCUUUUGGUGAUUGCUACUCUGUAAAUUGAGUUAUCAAGAUUUGGAUCUUCAAAUUGAUUUUUAGUUUACAAGAAUGAGUUUGUGUGCGGAAAGAAGAUUUUUGACAAUAGAAAGAAAGAAUCGAAAUUUUUGUGGUUGUUCCUUUUUGCUUCUACGUUAAGUCUCUUCCACUUCGAUCACGAGCACAGUUUGGAGCUCCAGAGUGACUUUGACUCGGGAGAGAGACUCUGACAAGAUGGCACGCUUUUAGAGACGAUUAAGAUGUGACGGACAACAGUAGCAAACCUUUGGCUCGAUGCAUGAAGAUGAUGUCCCUAAUGGAUGAGUCUGUCUCAAACUCUUCUUAUAAUAAAUAGCUUAAGACGCUAUACCAAUAUAUAACUGUUGGGAAAAACAUGUUAAAACGAAAUUUUUUUUUUCUAUCAAAAUGGGUUUCUCAUCAAAAUACCAACUUGAUAUUCAAAUAAAAAUAUCAACCAACACAGCAUAAAUAAUAGAGCAAAUAUCAAUCACACAGUGAUACCAAAUCUUUUUAACGUGAAAAACCCAAUAUGAGAAAAAUUACGGGACCGUAGUCUACCUCAAAUUUUCACUAUCAAUAGUAAUGAUAACAGGUUUACAGUAGGUCUUCUCUAGAAUAACUAGAGGAUCAGUAUAACAUCAAGAAUAUAGAUCUUGGCUCUAGCACAUCAUCAGGAAUAACUGACAACGUUUAGCCACUGAUCGUCAAGCAGAAAACUCAGAAACCUAAUAUUUCUCUCUCUAUUUCUCUCUCCUCUUUCCUCUGCACGUCGUCGCACGCUGCACGCUUUCACUGUACACACCUCACCAAACUCUGUCUCUCUUGAUUUCUUUGAUUUGGGCUCAUGGCUCAAAUUUGUCCAAGCCCAUAUAUGGGGUGGACCCAACAAUAACAUAUAAUUAUUAUGAAAAAAAUUCAUAUAUAAGUAUAAUCGAUGAUAAUAAUAGAAUAGUACUAAUCCAAAAUCUAAAUCAGAUGAAAUCAAAGUAGAAAUUAAAAGAUUAUGAUAAAUCAUCAUUUGUUAUCAUCAACAUGAGUAAUUAUUUGUUUUGGAUGAAUUCGUAUAUUUUUACCAUUUUAAGUGAAUCUAAACAAAUUUCUCUAAAAUAUGAAGAUAAUUAUGUCACUUAUAAGAUUUUAGUUCACCUACUCUAAAAUAAAAAAAAGGGGAUCGUGAGACCAAGAGUCUCUUUCUAGGAGCAUUCUUUGAUAAGUAUGUUUAAUCUUAUAUUACUUGGAGAGUAAGAAAAUUAAAAUUUUAUAAGCAUCUUGAUCAUACUCUAUCAUGUGUUUUUGGCCCUACACGAAUGGACAAAAUUAUAUAAGCAAAUCUAAAGCAAAAAAUUUCUCAUAAACUCUCACGGUCACAUCGAUAAUGGUAAAUAAUAACUUAUUAUAUUAUAUUAAACUUACCAAAAUACUCACAUAUUUAUAGGCCUAAUAUUAUACUUUAAAUUAUGAUAAAAUUAUCUUAUCUUAUCAUAUCAUAUUUAUGUUUAUUUUAUUAUAUUAAUCGUCACAAUUGUUAUUGUUCUUUAGUCCUAAUUCGUAGUCUUACAUAUAAAAAUAAAAAUAGAUUAAAUUACAAUUUGACCUAUUUUCCUUUCAAUUAUCAAUUCACUCUAAAGAUUUGACUUGCCGCCCUCUUAUUCAUAAGGGUAGGCUAAAUUACAGUUUGACUAAUUUUCUUUUUAAUUUUUUGACUCAUUGUUUCUUAAUUCUUCUUCAUUUGUAAGGGUAAAUUAAACUGUAUUUUCUCACUUUAUUUUCAAACUUUGACACAAUCUAAAAGGUUAUUAUCAAACAAUCACUUGAUUUUUUUUUAAAUGUUAAAAUUUAAAAUCAGAUAAGUCCAAGUCAAAUCGAUCUUGAUUAAUGUACAUGAGAUCAAACACCAUGUUAAACUCAAUUUAAUUGAAUAGCAGAUUGUAUGACAAAAGAUAUAUAUACAAGAAGAUUAGCUCAAUGAUAAUUGAACAAAAUGCCAAUUAAGAGUUCUAUACAACAAAUAUUUUUCAUGGAACAAUCACUUGAGUGAAAUGACGUGCAAACUUCGACAACUUUAUGGGCUCAAUCUUGCAAUAUACAAAGAUGAGAUGUAAACACUAAGUUGUAUGUAAUUGAUGGAUGAACACUUCAAGUGACUUGAUGUGAAAAAAACUAAGGGCCCGAUUUGGAUCUUAUUGUGGCCCAAAAUUAGGUGUCGAACUCAUCUAGAUAUUGUUCUUAUACUAGUCUAGGAAUGAGUAGUGCAAUUUGAUACAUAUAUGAGUUCAAACCUCUGGAUCUUAGCCUAUCAUUUAAGCUAUAGAGUCCUUGAUUUUGAUUGAUAAAGGUAGACAUAAAUCUCAUCUGAGAUCAUUAAUUUGUAAUUUUCAUGGAAUAUAACAUCUUUUUAUUCACUUCAAUUAUUAAUUAGAGACAUUUAUCAGUAAUAAAGUUCCAAAAAAUUAUUAGCUUAGAAUAUUUAUUUUUGUCCAAAAACUAUUAUGUUUUUCUCCUUUUUCAUCUCAUAUUCUACACCUCACUUACCAGCGUCACUCAAUAUCUACAUCGAUGUCAACACGAAGUGGUGAAAGAGCUACUUGGCAUCUACAUCGGUGAUUCUUUUGUCGCUCGACAAUCACAUCGAUGUCGACGUAGAUCAUGGUAUUCAUCGUAAUGUUUACGAUAAAGAUGGUAACUGCCUCACUGUUGACUCAUUGAGUGAAUCGCUUGACCUAAAGCUAAGGUAAUCGAAGAUCUUAUCACUCCCUUUGUUACCAUGUCAAUUUUGGCAUGGGCAUGAAAAAGGGGAGAUGCGGGCUCGUCGAAGGAAUUCUAUUUGUCGCGAUUAUCGUCUAUCGGGAAGAAAAACUCUAAAAAGCUGAUAGACAAGCUAUUACGUUGUUGUACAUAUCAUCGACGUAGUUACUAAGCGACCCUCAUCUCUCGUCACCAUUCUACUUAUCCAUAAUAGUCACUUGCGGCUCCUAACAAUGCCAUCGUCUGUCACUACUGAUGCUAUCUGCCACCAUUGAUGUUAUCCGUCACUACCAACUAAAACGUUAAAAUUAUAUUUUUAUAUUUUAUUUUCAUAUUUUCGUUAAUAAAAUCGAUGACAUUAGGAUAAAUAGAUUUAGAUGCUUUACUUUCAUAAUUAUAGAUAUGCCAAUGUAAUUUUUAAAAAUAUAAGAAUCAAAAUACUAAAAUAAUUAAUUACUAAGAUAACAUAUAAUUAGCUAAAAACAAAUAGUGGCCCAUGUAGUGUCCGCUCCUGUAAUGCCUGCUUGCAAGUUGCAGCAAUGUGGUGGGAGGAACAUUAAAAGGAGCACUAGCAAAUGCAUUCUCCCAUUCAUUCAUUGUAGGAGGAGCAACUACUAUGAAAUGCCACCAACCACCCCCAGUGAAUGCCUUGAUGCAGCUACCAUCAGCUGUGGUGUUGAGUACUCAUGUUCCACACUCAUCAUUCCUACACCUGCACUUUAGUCACUUUCAGCUCAAUCUGGUUGUCCAUGAAAAGAUAUCUUUCAUGAUGGGCUGUUAUUUUUGUGGAGGGAUAUGUAGAUUUGACUUUGUUGUCAAUUAGAGAGAGAGAGAGAGAGAGUUGCACCAACCCUGGCUAGCUUAUCAAAAGCAUGAUCCUUCACCAUGCACAUGAAUUGAGACAACACUAAGCUGGUCCUCGCUGUAGGGCACUUGGCAUGAGAAGUUAUUGAUGCAUUGUGUCCAUUACCCUGUGGCCAUCUUUGUGGCCACUACUGGUGAUUGGGAGUCUCUUAUGUUCCUCCAUUGUUUCUGCUCUAAGCCUCUAUCACUCUGUGUAAACUUGCACAGGUAUAUAUAUAUAGAGUUCAAAAUAAGUAUAUACAUAAUAUAUAUAAUAUAAAUAUGAUAUAUGUGGAGGAUCAUGAUAUGUGAUAUGAUGUAUCAAAAUUUGCAAGGGCAAACUAAGCUAUUUUUCUUUUGCAAGGAUUGAUAUGUAAAAAGCCUUUUAUUUGUUUAUUUAUUCUAUAGGUAUUUAUGGGACCAAUGAAUAAGUUUCAUAUUACCUCCUUAGCUCUUCAAACACUCAUCCAAAUGGGUCAAUGUCAUAAUUUGGAUUGAAAUGAUAUGUGAAAUUAGGAGAGGAUGUUGAUGUAUUAUCAAGAUGAUAGAUCAAAGUAACUCAAGGAUGAGGCAUGAGAGGGUGAGUCAAUCACUAUCCUAACUAACCAAGUAGCUUUAGCUCUCAAUUCCCACCCAUUCAAUCAAAAUUCUAACUUGUCAUUGGAGGGUGAGUACUAUAUCUUACAAAAGAAAAUCCGAAAAAUCAUAGCCACCAUCAUUCAUUCAAAUAUCAUUAUUAAUUAAAAUUUGAUUUACAGAGAAUUGAGUACCAACAAUUUUUAUGAAACUGAAAUCUAAAGCCACCUAAGUAAGCAAAUAUGGAUUUUUAUCCGGUUCAGGUAUGUAUUUAAGGUCAAGCUCACCCCAUAUCUGAUUAAAGGGAAUCCAACAUUGUUUAAGUAGGCAAGAAAUCUGAUCCAUUGCCUUACUAGUCGAAUAUUAUUCUUUUUUUUUCUUUUUCAUCAUGUACUCUUUGGUAAAUUCUAGUUUAUUUUAUGCUUUAUUAAGUGUCUAAUGGAUGGUUGUGUAAUCCAAAUCUAUGUAUGGAUGUUGAGAAUUGUCAGAUUUGUUCACUGAUAAUUAGGUAAACUAAUCUUUCAUGACAGUUAUUAGCUGAGCCAAGGUAAGGUUGUCACAAGAAUCAUCACAUAUUUAGGUAAAAGUUGGUUGUUUGUUGAUUAUGACCACCACUAAUGUCUCAUUUAUUCUCCAAGAAAAAAAGUCCACUGUCUUUUAUUUCCAUAGUAGAAUUGUGAUUUGAUUCCUAUUUUGUGCACUCUGUGUUUCCUCCCAUUGUUAUGAACUUAUGAUGUAUAAUUGGUCUUGUAUUCCUUUUAUGACCUUAUUCUCUCUAGAUCAAGGGGUUUGAUACCCCUUCUCAAAAAAAAGGAUAAGGAAAAAGACCUCAUGGAGCAUCUUAAUGCCAUAUAUAUGGACAAAGAGCAAGAGUGAUUUUGGUCUGAUAUGAAGUUGAUCUUUCCAUCAAUUGGUCUUAUCAUUUCUUAGAACUCAUAGAGCACUUCAAUCAAUUUUAGGAGUGGCAAUUGGAGUUUGGCAGGACAAUGGUUGAUUGCAAUGGCCACACAGUGUAGGAAAUAUUUCCCUACUUUCUACUUGUUUAAGUAAUGUGCAACCAUUAUGGAAAAAAAGGCUACAAUAUGGUCAGUAGACAGGAUUAAUGCAUCAUUAUCUUAUGGCAAACUCCCCAAAAAUUGUGACAAGAUCAUCAAUGGAAUUUAGAAUCCUGAGCAAACCAUGAUAUGAUAAUUUAGGUCCAAAGGAUGAUCAAGAAUUGUUCCCCUAGUUUUUUUAUAUUGGCUAAUAAUGCCUACAUAAUACAAGAGUUCUUGAAUAAGGGACCUAAUUUUCCAGUUGCUAUCAUUUAUUACACCUAAUCUUGACAUGGAAAUAAAAGCAAGGCAAACACUUGAAAGAACCACAUGUUGAUUGCAGACAUGACAGCAGAAGGUUAGAUGGUCCAUAAAUUCUUGGAGAAGAUGACUCUCCUAUUAUAUUCUAUUACUGCAUAAUGCAUGUGUGGAGAAGCUGGUGAGUACCAAAAUAUAGCUCAAAACAGGGUUUUGGUCUCAUCACCUCCCAUUAAUUUAAUAUGCCUGGCCAUUCCCUCUCAAUAUUAUUUAAUUAACUACUACAGAUUAAAAUAUGGUUUUAUCACAGCCUCUUUGGUUGCUUUUCUGUAUCCAAAUUGUGGAUACAGAGUUUCUGGUGAUCAUCUGAAGUUAAUCUCCACUUCUCUGCUUUAGAGAUCAUGAGUAAAGGCUCUUUCUUCAUCUACAUCAAUAAGAAGAAGAAGAAGAAGAAGAAGAGGAUAUGGUGGUUGUGUUGUGUGAUGUCAGUGGGUCACCAACCUCCAACCAACAACAACCUUCCCUUUCCAAAUGCAUUAAAUCUGACAAUGAAGACAAUAUAUGAUCAAGUUGGGUGGUGGUGAGGUAGGUUCCUCAUGGACCCCCUCCUACUUGAAUGAUUGUUUGGUGCAGCAUGCAAAGAGGGAAUGCUUGAGUGGGGGCUUUUGCCCACCGGUGAUUGAGGCAAUCUAACCUUAACCGAUAUGAUUGGCUAUGAACAUUUGGUUCAUCAACAUUUGAUCUUCUCCUCCCCUUCAUUCCUAUCCUAACAAAUGAUGCUAGUUUGAUGUUUUGAACACAGAUGAUCAGUUUAUUGCCCUUCUUCCAAUGGUCUAUAGAAUCUAAGAACAUGUUGGAGAUCAGGACUUGCUUGGCAACUGCAUGCCUCACUGGUUUGCAGACCCAAAUGGUAACACAAACAGAUGAGCUGAGCGCAAGCUGGCCCUGAUGCCGGCGUCGCAGCCUCGGCUGCUGGAGGUUUCGGAGAACCGCCAUGGAGGCUUAUGGUGAGGUCGAGGUUGAGGUCGGGGCAGCGCUCUUCGUCCAUGCUCGUGACACUGCUGUGCCCGUCCUCGGCCAUGUCGUUCGGCUUCACGGCUUCGUCGGCUGCCAUGGGAAUGCCUUGCCGGUGAGAAGGAACGCCGCCGAUGGUAAGGUGAGUCUUGGGGUCGAGCCCGCGACUGAUGAGCUUGCGCUUGAUGUGGGUGUUCCAGUAGUUCUUGAUCUCGUUGUCCGUCCUCCCCGGUAGGCGCCCGGCGAUCAGAGACCACCUGAAACCACAAGACAUUGGCAGCGUAAGAGGGAGGACACGCAAGAGAAGUGUAGCAGCAACAGCAGCAGUUGAUACGUACUUGUUUCCGAGUAAGCCAUGCAGCUUAAUGAUGAGCUCGUCGUCUUCCUCGGUGAAGUUGCCGCGCUUGAGGCCAGGCCGCAGGUAGUUGAUCCACCGAAGGCGGCAGCUCUUGCCGCAACGAAGGAGACCUGAGAACCAAACCAUCCAUCAGCACCCAACUCCACCCUCUAACUCAUAACCUGCGACAUUAGGACUCAACAGACCUGCAGCUUUGGGGAGCGACCUCCAGCAUCCUUCGCCAUGAGCCUUGAUGUAGGCGACCAGCCGUUGGUCCUCUUCCUUCGUCCAUGCUCCCUUGUUGGUGUGAGCCUUCUCGCAACAAGGCGACCUGCCCAUUGCGAUGUCAGGAGAUGAAGAAAGAUGCCAAUUCUUGAUCUGCUUCUUUUGUUGUUGUUGCUGUGGUCUGUGUGUAUAUAUACGAGAGGGAAGGAGAGACUGUGGGAACUCUCCCUAUUGACUCGAUCCACUACUUGUUGAUCCAUUGACCGAGUUGGUGCAAAGAUGGUUGAUAGAAGGUAGGUAGCCUCCAUGUUUGCAGUGGUGUUUCAACUCUCUGAUCCCCCACCGACAGAUCUACACCUUUAAGAACUCUUCCCACCUCUCAAACAACCCCAUGGUCUCCUGCUCUUGUUUAACCUCAAGCUUAAUCAUGUCAGAGUUGGGAAGAAUAUAUGGUAUUGUUUAACCUGAAGCAUUUUCCACGGAAGGGUAAAACCUCAUGUCCUUUGUGCCUUUCUUGGCAUGCUUGGUCUGUUGCAGAUGAUUCUUGCAUGUUUGUACUUGCUGCAGAGGUUAUCCUGUUGGAUCUAUCCAUGGACAGAUCAGAAAGCUGAGAAAUAAUUGGUUGGUGGGUGAUGCAUGUGCUUGGAUUUGCCCUAUGCAACCACUCCAAUCCAGGUUAUUAUGUUUCAUCUACAGACAUCAAUGUCUCUGCCAAUAACUCUGCACAAAAUGAUGUAAUAAUCCAAGCUUCAACAAUAAUGCUGCACAUCAUAAUGUUGCAAGUACCUAAUGAGAUUCUAUAGAUCAGCAGUAAUCAAGAUUAUGUUAAUUAUUUGACUCACAAGCUUGUUUCACUAAUUCAGAAAGAUUGAGCAUAUUACCGAUUCAUUCCAUGAAAAUUGAACCGAAAAAUACAGGAGAUGUUAUUAAAACUGACAGCAUAUUCUUGCUUUCUGAUCAGUGAUUAAUUGAUGAACAAGCAGAUAACUAUUUGCUUUAUUUGAAGACCAUGACUUGAUUAGCUCAAUUACUAACUCAGGAUACUAGACUGGAAAAGAGUCCUUAAAACAAUAAGGAAGAGUUGUGCAUGUUCUGUUGAUUAUGUGAUGUAAUGACUCCAGAUUGAAGUUGGCAAAAAAGUCUUGCUGAUGUUUAAUGUUGUGGAGCUGAUCAUUUGCAUUUCCUAACUGUUCCUACCUACCUGAGAGGGCAAUACAAACAUGGCAAAGUCAAUAGGCUACCAACCCAUCUUCCCUGCUGCUCCCUGCUCAUGUUCACGGUGUCUUCAUAGGUUAUUUAUGUAUUAACAUUGACAUCUAUCUAACUAAAAGCGGUUGCGCCUAUGAACCAUUGCUAUCAGUCAUGGCUGAUUCUGCAGCCAUUAGUCAGGAGCUAUAUGAUGAACUACAUGUUUCUUAUUCAGCAUAUAAACUAGACUGCAUAUCUUUAGCAUCUAGCUGAACUUGUAGGCUUUAUCAUCUCCAACUAAUAUUAGUUUAGCAAUUCGUAAUUUUGUCGGUAUGCAUGUUAUCAAUGACUUUACAUCUAUUAGAUAUGCUUGACUAGUUAGUUCACAUGGCACAUCCUUAGUCAAGGUUAAUUUUAGUGUUAAAUCUGCAAAAUCUUGAACAAUACCUAAUCAAAGAAGAAACUUCUUUUCUGAACCUGUCAUAAUCAUUCUAUUGACCGCAGAAUAUAGUAAACAACAGUUUCAUGAAAAAAAUUCUCCCAGGUCACUGUGGCAGUACUUGUACUAUUUCUUGAGAAUGAGUUAAGAAUGUAAUCCAUUUUCAUAUUUGUCAUGAUACUAUGUUAGAUUUUGCCUCCGAAAGAAAAAAAAAAGAUUCAUGGACUUGAUGGAAGAAAAAUGUCAUUAUAAACAGAGCAGGAGAAUACAUGUCAGUCUGUCAAAGCCAAAAUCAUAGACCCAUAUUACCUUCCUGCAGCCUUCUUUACAAGAGCUUCUAAUUUUUGAUGAACAAAUCUAUAAUAUGAACAAAAGUAAUCUCAGAGUUCCUUAUUCUUUCCUAACAGUAUGAGAUUGAUACGCAACAGUGCUCUCAUUCAUUACUUUUCAUUGGAAUGAAAUUGCUGUUUGGGAAACUAUAAAUUGCAUGAGAGGCAAAUUCCAUAUUAACAUUCAUGUAUCAUAGUGAUAUGGAGAGUAAUAGUUUGGAUUGACCUCAACAUGGGACCUCAACUGUUAGAUUGAAAUCUUCAUGAUUUACCACACUUCAACCACAAGAUCCUACAAACUUGGACACAAGAAGGAACCAUGUAACAAGUCAAAAGCUGAUGAAGAUUGAAAAGACAUUGCAUGUAUGUUAGUCCUUUACAGAAUUCAGCCAAACUGAGACUAAUAAGAUCAAACAUAUGAGCCAACAGGGCCUCAAUCCUAUUAUUCUUUAAGAGGUCAUAUCAUUCUUGUGGUACAUCAUCUACUAUCUAAAUCCAAUCAGAAAUAUAGAUUACAUGUUACUGGUCACUUGUCCUACCAAGGAAUAUGCUGCUGAUAUGCAACUGCAGUGAACCUAAUGUUGGAUGGCCUACCAGUUUAGUUUGAUACAUGAUCUCAUUAUUUCUUUAAAUUUUCCACCAAACUUUGUGGUCUUUUAGACUGCAACAAAUAUAAACUUGAUCAAGGCUAUCCACAACCUCCUAAACCUACCAUUAGGUUGUUCAUCCUAACUUUGAUUCCCUCAACAACCAAAGGUUAUUGAAAUGAUGCCUUGAGACACCUGCUUAUCUGUGAUUAGAGUAUUAUGUAUGGUUGGUGGCGGCAUUCAUAGGCUUAUGAUGGAUUGCCUUCCAACCCUCUUGGCUUCAUUUGUCAUUUAGUUUGAUCAAUUCAUAAACAAUCAAUUCCAAUGAAGUUGGAACUCAUUAAAGUAAAAAUAGAGAAAAGGAAUUGUUUGUUUUCAGGAAAAUCAUUAUGAAGCAAUUAGAUGAAUUGCACAUAAUGGCAAGUCUAGCAGUUUCAAGCAAUACUGCUAAUGUUGAUCAUAUUAUCUUAUUGUUAUCCCUUUUAUAAUCUUAUCACAAUCUAUUUGACCCUUUUUAUAGACCUCAAUUGCAAGAAAAAAAAGAGAAUAUAGAAAUAAAAAAUUAUAAUUAAGAAAUGACGUUUGAGAUUUAUUUGGAAAAUAAUCUUCCCAUGAUAGAUUGGUAGAUAUUUUCUUGUACUUAAUCAAAAUUAAGUUUUAAUUUCUUUCAUUUUUUUCUAUAUUUACUUCCUUUUUCCUUUCCCUUAGGAAACUAAAUUAGAAAUAUUAUAGUUGUUGGUCCUCUAAACUAAUAAAAAAUAUUCACAUAAGAAAUAAGUUAAAUUGGUCCCAAAUCACACAUAGCAUCCAACAGAUUUGUUAUUGUCCAAGUGUGAAAUAUUGUCAUUGUAGUUUGGUUUCUUGAAAUUGCUCUUUGACAGGUUUGCUUCCUUUUGUAUGGUUGCAUUGAUUACUGAAAUAAUUGGUGGAUUGCACAUUCACUUUGCAUCAUUUGGUUUCUUUUAUGUCAACACAGUCUCUGAAACAUGUAAUCUGUCUCUUGAUAACAUUGCUUGUUGAGUAAAGUGAAUGCCUUGACAUACGCAUCUUUUUGUGGCAUCAGUUGCUCUUCUCUGUUUGUUUUCACCAAAAGAUUCAUUCAUUCAUCAGUGAACAGAUAACUAAAAGGACUCAGAAUGAAAUGAUAAUUAUCAGAAGUGACAAAUAGCAGUAAAACCAUCAAAAAGUUCCUUCUUUUUCCUUCUCUUGUUCAGAGUGAAAUUUCUUUUUCUUGCUCCAAAAUUGGUCUUUACCAAUUUUGCGUACCCUGUUUCAUGUUUCAGCAAUCUCUUCGGGGCAAUAAGAAAUGCAGUUUUAACACUUAUUUCUCCUAAGAUUGCUAGAACAACUUCUUUUAAUUCAAGGUUUCAGUGUGGGAUGAGGCUGUCAUGUCGAAUACUUCUGAGACUUCAGUCAAUUGCUUUGUUUAGUUUCAGGUUAAGAGUGUGCAUACAAUGAGUAAAAGGCCGCCUUUUCAGAGUACCUCUUCCACUGAUGUCAACUGAAAAAGGUGGGCAGCUAAUUGGUGCAAGAAUUCCAUUGCGGACCCACUUAAAGUGAGAUUGCGUACGUACAUGGUUGACCCACAAAAUCUUUGUCGGAGUUAUGUGGCAUUGAAGUUUCUUCGUAAAUGUGAUGUCAUGGAGAGAAGACAAAUUCGUGCUUUUAAGAGCCCGCUCAUACUCCCAAAUGCCAAAUAUUUUGCUGUAAGGAAAGUCGACAGGUUCCCAAGAAGCUUCUGAUCUUGAAUCAUUGAUUGAUCGGAGAUAAAGGGAAGCACAUAGUGUUGGAACGAGACACCCUUCAACUGUUGUAUCAUCAUGUUUAGGCCAAUGGCUAAUAGCAAGAUCUUACUCGUGGACUACAACUUCUCCUCGUAUCGCGAUUUCUUUGAUCUUGGAGAGUUGGGUUAUGUCCCCAUUGGUGACGGGGAAAUGAUCUUGGAGCUCAAGCUAAACCAUACCCAAUGUGUUGGGUCAUGUCCACGGUAGUGGAAAGGACCGUGGUUGAGCAGCGUGUCUAUAUAGUUGUUAUUGCUUUUGUCAUCGACUGUUCGAUCUUAUAACGUCGAAAGCUGGGCCUCGUGCUGUCCCACGAUAUCAGCCGCCGUGGGCUGAGGUCCGCACGAGCGUUUUGGGUGUGAAGCGGGGUUGAAAAGGUAGCGAAGGCGUUCCGUUCGUCCACUUGCUUUGCCCGACGGCUCGAAGCACAGUGUAUCCUUUGGCCAAGGAAGCCCGAGGAGCGGCUGUCAACGGCUUAGGAGAAGACCGGAUCCUUGACCCUAUUCGCUGCAAAAGACGAGUUCUUUGCCCCGUAUUCCGUCGCUCGGUGAUUUGUGGAGUCUUUUAAAGUUUCCUUCACCGAAAUCUUGAAAUUUUCUUAUCUCUGUCAUAGAUUUGGCCCUUGGUAGGUUUUUGGCCACAUAGGGAAGGAGAUUGAGGUGUAAAGUUAUCAAAAGAUGGGAUCUUGGGUGUCGUGAAUGUAGCUGUUUAAGUAUAGGGUGGCGAGUUUUUGUACUUCAUUUGUGCGGCCACUUUUAUUGGUUGUUUCUGGAGCUUUCUCGUUAAUGCCUUUUGCACGUUAGUGCUUCAAUAUUUGGGAUCGAAGUUCCUUUUUCGAGUCGUUUUAUGCUCUCCGAGCAUGGAUUUGCUAAAAUCUAAGACUUCUGAGCUUAUAAUUUUCCCUGGCGGCGCUAAGGUUGGUUAAGGGUUCGAAUUCCUUGAUCCAUCUCUCUGUUUGCUGGGUUUUUCUUGGACAUUUUGGGGUUUCUUCUUCGAUUAGAGCUUGGUGCAUAUGUGUUACUGGGUAGGAAACAUGAUCUUUUCUGGGUGGUAAUUCAGGUUCCAAUGUGGGGUAUUCUCAAAUAUGGAGUUUUUGGUUUUUGUUUGUGUUAUCAAAGCCUUUUCUCUGCUAUUCCUCCGUAUAAUUAGUAGGGAACAAAUGGUGAUUCCAUCCAGAUGUAUGAGUUCCUACUCAGCAAGCACACAGUCACUGGUCUUCCUUCAAGUAUUGAAGGACUCUGUCCAGCAAAAGUGGCUUCGAUGGAGAUGACAGAGCAUAGGAUGACAGAUGAUCAAGGAUGUAAGGAAGACAAGGUGAAUAGAAUGUUGUCUGGACAGGGAAUUGAUACAUUGGCCAGAGAUGGUUUGGAUGGCUCAAAGCAAGAGCAAUACAUAUUAUGGAGGUCUUUAAUGUAACUGGCGCUGGCGAAUCUCACAGUCAUAAUGUCACUUCGGACACCUGUGAAUUUCCAAAAGGAUGAAAGCAGCCAAUCAAAAUCAUUAGCCCCUCCGAAUUAUGAGAGUUCAAUGCUGACUAGUUAUUUGUCCAUUAAAGGUUCAUCUGGUGAAUGUUCGCAGCUUGCAUGUAUUUAUUCCAGGGAAGUUAGUGGACCUGGGUGCUUUCUAGAUGACUCCUCUUCUGGUGCUGUUUCAGAUCCUUGCAAUGCUCGUGCGAAGCAGAUGAAGUUAUCUUCUCUUGAGCAACAAACUUAUAUGAAUGUUGAUCAAGAAUGUGGUCUGUCUUCCACUGUUGAUGACUUGACUGACCUGAGUCAUUCACAAAGUUCUUUAAGUGUGCCCAUGUAGCAUCAACAGCAAUCAACAUGCCUUAUGGUUGAAACUUGUGGUCCAAGUAUCAUAUGUAGUUACCAUCUCUCUAAAACCGAAGAAGAAACUGAUGGUAGUGAUGACAUUGCUAUGGAUGUUGAUUGCAAAAGUCAAGACAUGAGAGGGGAUAAGUUACUUAGUGAAGCUAAAUCUGUUGCUUCCCCUGUUUCCCAAGAGAGCUUCACUUCAGGGCUUUUGAUGGUGGCUGCCACUCCUGUGGGGGCACAAGGUGUGCCUCUAUAUAUGAAAAAUGUUGUGGAAGAAUUGAGCAUUUUGCACUCUGGCACAGUUGAUGUCGUCUCAAAGAGGGCAUUGACUGGGGAACUUCCUGAAUGUCUUUGUUCUCAUACAAAUUGUCUACGUAUUGAUGCAGGCUUGAAAAUUGAGCCUCGUGUGAGGACUGACCGAACAAAGUUUGCUUCCUACUUUGUAGCACCCAAAGAAAAACUUGUUGUCACUUCAUUUUCUCUAGCUCGGAAGGCCUGUGGAUAGAGGCUUUAUGCCAGUGCAAUGGGCUCUGAACAGGAAGAUAAUGGGAGGGUAUGGAUGAAUAUCGACAGAUUUUGGGAUGAUUUGACAGACACACUGUUCUACAUUGAGAAGAACACUUGGCCCGUUGGAAUAUCCAUUUCUCUUUUGAAGAGAUGGCAGCUUCUUGAACCAUUUGUUGCUGUGGUCUGCAUCAAUAAGAAGAUUGGUGUUCUGCCAGAGGGAAGGCUACUCAAGGCCAUGAAAAGUUCUACUUACAUCCUGAGUGGGGAAAAUAAUAUUGUCUUGGCAGAUCAGAGUGUGCACAAAGUUGCUCAAGUGGCAAAUCAGAAUCCAAGUUCAGGAAUGUGUUUAAAUCAUAAUGCUCUGCCAGUUACUCAGCUUGAUUAUAAAUCUGAAAAUGUAAGUGAAAUUUCUAUAAAUCAGCAAAGAUUACAAAAUUGCAAUGGUCUGCGAUGCAGCAGCCAAUGUAAGCUUCAAAAAUGGCAUUUUGGAAGCUGUGUAGAAACACAGAAGAUGCCUUAAAAGUUCGGCUGGUUGUAUUGAAAAUGCCUUGCAUGAUACCAGAUGCUCACAUCACAUGUGUUACAAGGAUUCAGCAAGUCCUAAUAACACAGUAAAUGGUUCAGAAAGUACAUUUGCUUUCACAGUUAGUGAUUUUCCAGCUCAAAAUCCUCUUAGACCUGUUUUAGAAACUUCACCAACUGAUGUUUUGAACACUUGCAAAGCUGCUUUUAAUCAGUCUUUCUCUCUUCAAGAAAGUAGUGUUCUAUCUGAUCCUAAGGCUAGGUUGCUUGUGGCAAUUUUCUCUCUUCAUAAGAUGGACCAGUUUGAUUCAUCAGAACAUAUUGAGCAAAAUACAUUCACGUGUACGUCAUUCACAAGUAAAUCUACUGCUUUACAUUCUUGUUCUGCCUCUGUUAUAAUUUGUGCUCCAGAUAUUCAACUUCCUGUUGAUCCUGUUCCUGUUGUGCCAAUUAACAAUGACACCGAAUCUGAUGUCGAUAAACUUCAUGAAGCUGAAGCCAAGCACGUAAUGGAAGAAGAUAAGAGGCUACUCUUUGUAGGGGCUGGAAAUGAAGAUAAAGGUUUUAUUCAUUCUUCAGAAGCAAAUCGUAACUACUUAUCUGAUGGACAGGAUGUAGGUCUCCAUGACUGAUGAUUCUCAACCUCGGUGACAUGAAGUUAAAUUUUGAGAGAGCAUAUUAUUAGCAAGUUUUUCGCAGAUGACUCCAGCAUCUCCAAGGAUGAAAUUGAAUAUUUCUGUGUGAACACGUCAAAUUUGAGAAGCUAUGCUGCACAAGUGACAGUGAUGAUUAAUAUUUUAAAUUUGUUAAGUGUGAAAGAGCAUAUAAUCUUCCAAGAGCCUGCAAGUAUUUUUCUGUUCAUGUUGAAAUUGGUCUUCAGAAAUUGGAAGGUUGCCACUCCUGUUCCUUGGGACAAGGAGUUUUUAACGGACUUGAUGGGAGAGGUCUCAUGCUAUCGAUAUGAAAGCUCAUAUUGAGAUAGUUCAUGAAGUUCAUGGUCUUCAUCAACUGACACGUAUUGCUAGAAAAAUAUUCUGCAGGCCAUUUAGACAACGGAUCUGUUCACUUUUGGAGUCAGAAAUUCGAUUGAAGUUACAACAUUUCUGUUUUUGUCUCAAUGGAUAUAAUUGGAACUCUUAUUCCUUAGCCUACCAACAGUCAGCUCCAUUGAAUAAAAGGCUGCGGUUCAUUCAAGCUUUACUCUUAUAUUGCCCGAGUCAAACCAUAGUAAUGACAAAUUAUUGAAUCACUAGCCAGAGUGAUCUCCCGCAUUUAACUGAUAUGAAAAAACGGUUAUUUCUACUCUCAAGUACCAUCUUUUAGAUCGUCUCUUUGGAUUCUUAUGGGAUCUAUAGCUUGAAGCUAUCAGCCUUGGUGUAUUUAAUAGAUAAUUCAGCCGGAUGAGACAAUUGUUUGGGUUGUGGCUGCGGACACUGAGCACAGUUAGGCUUGAACUUUUGCUUUUACUUUCUGGUAUUUUCUCAUGUUUGUGGUAAUUGCAUUCUAUUGAUUUGAUGCAACCUCUGAAGACUGGAUCAACGGUAUGCAGCUCCAUGAUAGCCAAGUCCCAGCUUGAAGACUGUCACUAGUGUAUUCUAAUUCAUCCUUUUCGAUUUUAAAGGAUGAAAGCUGACAAUAAUGUUACAACUGGAAGCAAUAAUGCUCGGUCGCUUUAGAGACCAUUGCAUUUGCUUAUCUUGACUGCUGUUAGUUUAUCGAUAACUUAAGAAGUUUACCAGUGAAAAUUCACCUUGGCUGAAAGAGAAGCCACCAAAUUGUGCAGUUUUUUCUUUAUUUUUACUCUAAUUGGCUUGACAGGUGUGGAUGGCAUAAUUUCACAUCCCUGUUGUAGCCUGCAAACUUUGUAGUUGUCGGUCAUUCUAACAGAACUGUUGAUGCAAAUCUUCCUCGAGUUUUUUUUGUUACGGAGUUCUCUUCGGAUAUCCAAUUGAUGAGCGCAUGUGCAGAUUUAGGCACACCGUGUUACUUACAGAAUGAUAUGCUUUGAUUUAUGCAUGGAAAUAUCUAAAAUUUGCUUGUGUUUGACAGUUGUUCAUCUGGUUCAGUGGCAUUCUCUUUUGAUGUGUCUUGAAGUAAAAUUUAGGCAAAUUGGCCAUUUGGUAACAUUCAUCUUUUGGUAACUUUAGUCAAUAGGAAGAGAUCAUACUGACUGCAUCAAAUUAUUGUCGCUCUCUUGUUUAACAUAUGACUUUGAUGGUGCAAGUUGAUUCAAUUUGCUUGUAUUUUAUUUUCUAGCAGUUUUCAUUUCAUUCACAGAAGAAUAAUGGUGUGUAGUUUAUGAUUUGGAGUUAGUUUUCCCAGCUCAAAGAAGCAUUGCUCAUAUUUGGAUAAGGACAAAAUAAAGUCAACCCAUUGGUUGGUCAUAUGAUGAAGUCAAACCCUUUCAUCUAUGCUUGAGAAUGCUACUAUGCUUUUAUCUAACAACAGAGACAAAAAAGAAUGGUGCAUAACUUGUUAUUAGAUGAGUCAUUUAUUGCACAAUAGACAUUUUUCCAGAUUUAUUUUUUGUGUUUAAUGCCAAAGUGAUAAGCAUAGAGAUCGAUUAAUAUUUAUGAUAAUACAAACAUGUUAUUGAUUAUAUCAUGAUUCAAUUUUACGGGAUAAUUAAUUUAUUAAUUCGAUAGCUCAAGCUGAGUCUUAAGAUCUCUUUCACUUCAAAUAUCACAAGAUCAAACCUGAGACACAAUUUCACAUCAUUCUUUCUCUCAUAUCAUUUGUUACGAUCUGAUCUGAUGAGAUUAUCGUAUAGCUUGAUUAAGAUCUUCUCCACAUCAUUGUGAUCAAAACAUGGGUGUUUCAUAUUCAAUCCCAAUUAAAAUUUAGGCCAUUCAAUGGAUUGACAAGCUUGAUAGGGUUGGACUUAUAGUACUUGGAAUGGGUUUAAAUCAACAUGAAUCUAAUUCGUAUGCAAUUUUAAUUGGCAGGAAUAUAAUAUUUAAUUUUGAGAAAGGCUUUUCAAACCCAACACGAGAAAAGCCCACAAAAGAAACCCAGAUGAUGAUUGGUUUGGAAUUAGGGAUAAAUGGGUAAUCCAGUGGGCCCCAGUUCUCCUUCUCUUUCCUAAUCGUAUCUACGCGGCCAUCGUGUCCGGAAACUAAUAAAUAUUCCCAAAACCCUAACCCCGCCAUUUCCCCCUAAAACCCUAAUCCCACGUCCUCCUCCUCAUUCUUCUCCUUCUUCUGCGUGUACGAUUCUUCAUGUACUCCAGUCGCAGGAGUGGCAGCUAUGCAGAAGCUCUGUCGUGGAAACCCCGUCCUCUGCAACGCCGGCUGGUUUGAGCCACGUGCCGCCCGAGCCCUCUUUCUCUCUUCGUUGCCCGCCCUCCGCCUCCCACUUCGACCCUCCGCCGCUAUCCUCUGCUCGGGUCAGUAUGCCCGCCUGAAAUACGCCCCCGUAUACCACUCCGCUGACGAUGGCUCGUACCUCUUUCGGCGGGACCGAGUGCCGGCCUCGGCCCACUCUUUGCGCGAUUGGUGGGCGAGGGGCUUUAGGGCGGUCGAAGCUCUGAGGAAUCGGGAGAAAGGCGGGGACUUGGAGGGUUCCGUCGAGGAGGACAGCGAAGAAGAGGAGGAGGAUGGGGUUGCGGGUGCGGAGAGGAAUAGUGAAGUUCAGCAGAGGGCUUCUCUGGCUGGUGGCAAGUCAGUGGAGAGGAGGGCAAGGAGCGGUGGUUCUAGUGCGCCUCCAGCACAGGGCUUAGAACUGUUGGCGAUUCCGGGGGUUGGUCCUCGGAAUCUGAGGAAGUUGGUGGAUAAGGGUUUCGAGGGCGUGGCCCAGCUCAAGCAGCUUUACGUGGACAAGGUAUAUGAUUGUGUUCCUGCAUUACCUAAUUCUAGCACUUGCAUUAUUUUGUUUAGUUCUCAAAGUUACCUUGAAUUAGCACAUAUAUAUGAAAUAAAGGUUAAAGAUUGAACUAGAACAGUCCCUUUGUCGUUAUUAUUCUUGGAGUUGGUGUAGGUAGACAAUCAUUUAACUAAUUAUCUUUUAUUUUGGGUGCUGGAGUUGUGGUUGAUGGAGAUAGUAAUUUAACUAUUUGUAUUAAUUUUUAUAGACAAGGUUCAGUUGUUUGUCAAGUGGCAAACGAGAGAAACGAUUUCGAGAUUUGGAUUGGUGCCAUUUCAUUCUUUAAUGUUCCUUCAACGGGUAAUAUAUGCUCCAAAUUCCUUUUUGCUCUAGUAUUGGCGCAUAUCAUGGAUCAUGUAUUUUUUUUAAUGUUUCCUAAACUUUGUGUUAACAUGUCCAUUUGCAUUCUUUUUGUUUGAUGGAUCAUGCUACUGCACUCGUAUCUGCGACUUUGUAAAUUGCUAUGACAAAUUCUCCAAAUUACAUAAUUGAAUUUUACAUUUCUGGUCUGUAUAUAAGUGGUACUUUUCCAUUCUGAUAUGACUUUAAUAUUGGUCCCCUCACAGUUUGUUGGCAAAUCCAGCGAUAAGAUGAUUGAAUACUUACAGAGCUCUGUAGGAAUUAUCCAUAAAAGCCAUGCAGAGAGUAUAACCUCCUUUAUCAAGGAACAAGUGGAUGAAGAGUUAGAAGGGGAUACCAUGGAGUCUACCAUGAAGCUUUCACAGAAGAAUAGGCUUACAUUUUGUGUUGAAGGCAAUAUCAGUGUUGGGAAGACUACGUUCUUACAAAGAAUAGCUCAUGAAACAAUUGAAUUACGUGAUCUUGUAGAAAUAGUUCCAGAACCUAUUGACAAGUGGCAGGAUAUUGGUCCUGAUCACUUCAAUAUACUGGAUGCCUUCUAUGCUGAACCACAGAGGUAUGCCUACACCUUCCAGAAUUAUGUAUUUGUAACUAGGGUCAUGCAGGAAAGAGAGUCGUCUGGUGGAAUCAAGCCUCUUAGGCUGAUGGAAAGAAGUGUUUUCAGUGAUAAAAUGGUGAGCAUAUAUUAUAAUAGAUUACAAACAUGGGCAUAACUAGCUUCUCCAUCACACAAUGUUUUUGUUUGACAUGACAUUUGUGUAAUUUCUCUGCUUUUUAAUGUCUUUAUAUGCAGGUCUUUGUACGUGCUGUUUAUGAGGCCAAAUGGAUGAAUGAGAUGGAAAUUAGCAUAUAUGAUUCAUGGUUUGAUCCUGUCAUAUCAUGCCUUCCAGGGUUAAUCCCUGACGGGUUCAUUUAUCUUAGAGCUAGCCCUGACACUUGCCAUAAAAGAAUGAUGUCACGUAAUAGAGCUGAAGAAGGUGGUGUUAGCCUACAGUACCUGAGAGAUCUACAUGAGAAACAUGAAAGCUGGUUGUUUCCUUCUCAACAUGGAAACAAUGGUGUACUCUCAGUCAGUCAGUUGCCUCUGCAUAUGGAUAGCUCUCUGCAUCCUGAUAUAAGAGAGCGUGUUUUCUUUCUAGGAGGCGAUCACAUGCAUCCAACCAUCCAAAAGGUAGCUUUUUCAUCUUGGCCUUUCCUUAAUUAUAACGAAUUCAUUGUUAGACCUAAGUAAAUUUUAUUGAUGAGUAGGUUCCAGCUCUGGUGCUGGAUUGUGAACCCAACAUUGAUUUCAGCAAAGACAUUGAAGCUAAAAGACAGUAAGUUAAAUAGUCUUGCCCUCUUCCCAAGGAUACUGGCGGUAGCUAAAUUUUUGCAGUUUAGUUAUUUGAUUUUUUGUGUUUAGGAAAGGGUAUACUUGCAUACUGUCCUUUUAUCUGCUCUUAUAGAUUUUGUUUGAUAUCUUAAUAUUCUUGUCUUGUGCAUGUUUUUUUUUUUGUAUUUCUGAACAUUCUCUAAGGUUUAGAGCUGAAUUGCAUUCAUUAAAUAUUCUUAGGAUAAUAUCAUCAACUUCCAGCCUUGUACGCACGAGAUUUCACAACCUAACCCAAUGGGAAAAUCGACUCAGUAACAAUGUGUCUUGUAUUGACAUAACUUAAAAUACAUAUGCUUAAGCUAAUGAUAACAUAUUUAUAUACUUCUAUAGAUCAAUACAAUCUCUCACUUCCAUCAUGAGACCAAUCAGGAUGUUAUAUGAUGAGUGUGACAUGAGUACAUGUGUAGUAGAUGGUUGAAGAAAUUGCAAGAUAACUAGUCAUAAACUGUCAGUUGAUGGAAUGUUGCUUACGAGAUAAUUGAGAAUUCAAGUUGACUGUAUUUGUAGUCUUACAUCUACAAUCAGUGAAGAUCUUGAUGUUCAAUCUCUUGCCCUCGGGUUGAACAUAGCAAUCUUACCUUUGCACUGGGACCUCUCUAUCUUAUUUAGUAGCAUGUGUAAGACUAAGGGACUUUGCUUGGGUGAGAUGAUUUGGUAAAAGAGCAAAAAGUGAGAAUUGCAUCUAAGCCCAUGUUUGGUUGUCUAACUGUCUUGAAUCGAAGUUGUAUCUUCGGAAGUACUUAUUAAUAGAUUGGACUAAGCUUCAGGGAUUGCAUACGAUGGUGUGAUAUAUGCUGGUUUCCAAACUAAAUCUGCAUCGGUUGGGUUUGGUUCAAGCACAUGGGUUUUGGAUUGCUGUACGGCAAGCACCCUUGUAUAGCUCUGUUAUGCUGGCUGAACAAUAAAAUUCAUCACUUUAGGGUAUCUCCCUAAUGCAUUCCCUUCCGAGAUUAUCAGAUGAUAUUAAAAUGCCCGACCGAUAACAGGUGAUUUGUUUAUCUUACGUCUAUAAUUUCUCAUCCUCUGAUGGUCCAUUGUUUAUAUCCAGGUAUGCUCGGCAAGUCGCAGAAUUCUUUGAUUUUGUGAAGAAAAAGAAAGAAACUACGGCUGCAGAAAAUGUUAAUGACAGAAAGGGCAAAGACCCAAAGGUACUGCUUCCCCAUGAAAGUGGUUUGUGGAUUCCAAAAGGCAGUGGCUUCCCUGAAUCUACCCCAUCUCUGGACUACAGAAGAGCAAUGUCCUUCCUCCCGGGUUAGCUGCUAUUUGACCAAAACCUUCAGCUGUGGGUAUCUGAAGUCUUUUAAGGAGAUGCUGAUUCUCGCCUACCAUUGUACUUAAUCCUGCUAGUUUAUGAUGGCACAAAUGCUUCUGACAUGAACAAGAAUUUAGAAUGUUGUAGUUUUAUUGUCUGUAAAUUGCAUCUGGAUUACUACUUGCUCAAGAAAUCUUUUUGAACAGCUGCUUGCAACGGUCAAUGCCUCUGCUUCCAUAUUCUACCUGUCUCCCGGAAAGCUUUCUUUGGUCCCUGUUUCUGAGAUCAAACCACUGUUGCUUGCUGGAGAAGCUAUCGAGUGCUUUGACUAUUUGGAGGCCAAAAUCCUGUUUCUUGGGGAUCCUCGUAAAAGCCAUUACGUGACGCCUCAGCAACGCUGCAUCCCAAAGGAGAAAUGAUGAACGAGUGGAAUUGGCGGAGUCAACAAGUUGUUCUCUCUCUUUUCUCAGAAAAGAAAUACUUUACUCCAUAUUAACCCAUACAUAACACGGCAAGAUGAUGUUCCCGAAAUAACACGUUAUUGGACCGAGAAUUGUCUAUCGUCACAUAGUUGUUAAUGAGAACAAAUAAUAUAACUAUAGAUCUUGCAUAGGACAAGUGUGGGUAAACAUUGUCAGGUAGAGACUGAUAUAUGAGAUUCUAAGCUUUUGCAGGGUGAGUCAGCUCAAUGCCGAUGCUUAUGGAAGCUAUUGCAUGAUAAAAAUGGAACCUUUUCCCAACCCUAAUCAAAUUUCUAUCUUCUGGAGUAAUUGCGAAAGCCAAAGUCAGCAGCAGGACACAGUAGGCGAGCUUAUCAAGGAGGGGAAUUUGAUGGCGUGAGGUCGGGGAGGAGUAAAGAAGACUCGGAGGGUUGACCAGCUCCGCGGCAGCGGAUGGGUUUUGGCUCGUGUGUUUCCCGGUGGUCGGACUCCUCUCUCGGCUGUCGCAGCAAAGCAUCACAGGGAUGUAUUUGUCCUGGGUCCUCCUGAUGCCGUGGGAAGCAUAAAGAUUGGAUCUUGAUCGACCGGUCGAUACAUCGAUCGAUCAGUCACUGGGUCGGUCUCGCCGUUUUCUUGCAGACCAAAGGUGCGGCAUUUUUUUCUUCCCCUUGGUGUAUGGAAUUUUUUCUAAUAUUAAGUGCUUGGAAAAAAAAAAAUCCAAGCUUCUUGGCCUUCUUGAUCGGUUUUAUAAGACUUGGAGGGUGUUUGGGUUUGACCAGCUCCACUUCAGUGUGGAAUUUAGCUGUGUUUCCAGUGGUUUGUCUCUCUCCCUUUCUCUCUCUCUCGACUGCUGCUGCUGCGACGCAUCGCAGAAACCUCUCCCCGGUCUUUUUGCCAGCUCCUGGUGCCGUGGAAGCGUAAAGAUUGGAUCUUGUCUCUCGCCAUCUUCUUUUUCUUGCCGCUUCGGAUCGGUCCGCAAAGGUGCGGUCUCUUUUCUCCCUUGAUAUUUUGGAUGGUUUUCUGCUGUUAGGUGCUUGAGAAAUCCAAUCUUUUUUAGGCGUUUCUUGAUUCCGCACCGGUUUGGUUUCGGAUCCGGCGAUUGUUUCGGGCUGGGAUUUAGCAUCAGAUUCUAAAUCCAGAAAUUUUUUUUCCUUUAUGUCGUUAGGAGCUGCAGUCGGUGUGUUCCAUCUGCCAAAGUUGUGGCAGGUAUUUAAAUCGGAUUUGCUUUUAAUUCUCCACGAGAUCGGUGUCCUUUGAAUAUCGCAUACUGUGGCAAUAUUUGUUGGAAAAUUGACAAAAAAAAUGUGUCUGGAAAAGGAAAGGAAGAAUUGAGAUUUGAUAAGCGUUCAGAAAAAUGGGUGGGCUUUGCUCAAAAAGGUCAGCUGUGGAUAAAUCGCCCAGCGAUACUCUCGAUCCUAGUGGGUUCAGGGGUCAGCCAAUACCGAGUCAAUUCCAUAGUAAAAGGCAGGAGGAUUUGGCUAAUUCUCUAGCAGAAGAAGCUAUGGAGAAGCGGCUGCAAGAACAGUCCUUUUCCUUCCGUGAUUGCACAAUAACACACACCGGAAACUUUUCAGACGCUGCUGAUGCCACUGAACUGCAGUUUUUCAGGGAUAUCUCACAAAAUUCUAGCUCAACGAAGUCUAAACCCUCCUCUGGAAAGUCUGGAACUACGAAGGCAAGUUCAACUCAUGAUAGUUUUCUUGUUUUUGAUUGAAUGAUAAGGAGUACUGGUGUGUUUCUUCUGGAUUAUAUGAGUUUGGUGAGAUUGCAAAUAAUGCAAAAUACUUCACAUGGUGGUUGGGCCAUGAUCACUCAGUUGAGAUGAAUCAGUCCAAGAAUGUCAUGAAUGUAGUUGAAUUUUGCUUUCUCAUCACUCAAUUUUCUAUUUGGUGCUCUAGAACAAGUAUAUUGUUUAACUUCAUGCUGAAGUUGUUAUUGUGAUUGCAGAAAAUCUUAAAAUGGUAGUGCAACAUGGUACCACUGAUCAACAUGAGCCAUGAAAGCUCCAAAGUCUGUAUGAAGUUUAUCCUUGCCUCAUCCAUCUCCAAACAAAAGCUUCUUUUAGAACCCAAAACUAUGAUAUAAGUAUCUUUCCCUUGUUUCUUUAUUUAUAGGAUGAUCCCAGCAGGCUAAUAUUGCAGAGAACUUGAACUGAAGGUAGGGAAAAAUCAGGUUUGUUUGCCACAUGUCAAAGGGUUACAAGCAAUGGUCAAGUAUCCAUGUUGAUGCUGGACUCAUAUGUAGGCAUUUUCAUGCUGCCAUUCACAUCGCUGAUGUGACAUUGCAUGGUUCACAUGUAUUGCAUGCCCGAUACUUUCUCAGCCAAAAUACCAGCUUGUCUUAUGUUGCUACAUGUAGAAUCAUGAGGAAAAUAAAUAGUGUACUUAUAUAAAUCGACUGCCAUCUGGAUGCACCACCAGAAGGAUGCUAAGUUUUGGAACUCUUGGGAAAGACUAACUAUUUAAUGGAGUUUAUAAUUAUACAUAUUUUGACAAGAUAAGAAUUAUUAUUAUUAUUUGCAAUUUGGUCACCUAUGAUGAUAUGCUGGAGCUAUUCAGUCUUUGUUCUCAGUUUCAUGAUCAUUAUGUGCCCCAUUAGUUAAAAACCUCAUAUGGGUUCCAAUUUUAUUUGUUUAUAGGUAAUAAGAUGUGCCGUCUCAUGUACCUCAUUAAUUCAUAAGUUACUUUGGGCAUAUAUGCGAUGGAAUCUGAAUUUUAUAUGUUCUUACGAGCAGACACAAUAAAUUAUUUGAAUAUACAAGGUUAAUGCUGGUUGUCAACAGCUUCACUGUCAUCUUAUAUAAGACAUUUGGUGUUUUUUGUUUUUUUGUCGGUAGUUUUGAUAUUUGUAUACCCCUUAUUUUUUUCCUCAUCACUUGAGUGGAAUAUCCUUGACGAGAAGAUUACAAGGGCCUUUAAUCCGAAUAUAUAACUAAUCAUUUUAAGCAAUCUAGAUUCCCACUUCCAUGCCAGAUUGACUGCCUCCAUUCUAGUCAUAGAGACAUAGACUCAGUUCAUGUUUAGAUUAUGACACAUGCUAUUAGCACAUACCUUGUUUCUUUGCUAUAAACUUCAUUGCAUCUCAAGGGUAAAUGCUGAUGCUAUUAAAGCUGCAUUGCAUUGUGUGUCUCAUAACAAUGACAGCAUAAACAAUUUCAUGAGAGCCUAUUAUAUGUUUUUUUAUUUUAAAAUCAACUUCACAACAUAAAAGAGGUUCAUUUCUUGAAUGAGAGAAACUUGACUGUCUAAGAAAGAAAUUCAAGAGUGGCAUACUGACUUGCCAGUGUAAAUGGUUAGAAUGCUUUUUAAACUUGUCAUAUAUGUUUAAUCACUAUAUUUUUUUCUUCAUGGUCCCUAGUUAUACUACAUUGUUGCCAUUUCACUUUUAGUUUAUAAUCGAUAUAUACAGUUAGGACCUUCUCAUUCAUGGAUUUUUAAUGAACCACCUUUCAUGUAUCUGGUUAUAGUUAUAUGCUUUCGAAGCAAGUUUCAUCAAUUGUGCUAGCUUAGGCUAAAAAUUCUGCAGUAGGAAUAUGAUCUUUGUGUAUAAAACUAUGUGUUACUAUAAACUUCACAUCCCGGCUAGCAUAACUGAAUUUGUCACAGUUAAGCAAUACAUAUUCUACUGAUUUGAUCGGUGAAUUUUUAGUGAGUUGCAGAACACAUGUUCCCUUCUAAUGUUAUAUGGAAGUCUGUUUUAGGAGCAACGAAACAAAAAUGAUCUAGCUUCUUGCAUAAGUAGACUGGACAUAUUGGUCUUUAAUGAUGGAUAUGUACUUUAAAACGGUUUUUGUUGUCUGCAUUUAACUGUAUAAUUUUUGCUGGUUCAAUUGAUCCUUUAAUUCCUGUAGUAGAUUAAUAGAAAAUGUUGUACUUUUUGCACUGUGCUCCAUAUGUACAUUGUGCUUUAUAUAUGUGUCAUGUUUCUCUUGCAACUCAUUAACUGUAGACUUCUAACAUGUAAACUAGGCAUAUUAAUUGCAAAGUAUUGUAUUUCAGGUCUCCGAAGUGGGCUUGGUUUUGAGCAAGGCAGGUAGUGUUGGGCUCGGCAAAGCAGUUGAGGUAUUGGACACACUUGGUAGUAGCAUGACAAAUUUGCACCUUAGUAGCAGCUUUGUAUCAGGAGUGGCAACUAAGGGAAACCAAAUAUCUAUUUUAUCAUUUGAAGUUGCCAACACAAUAGUUAAAGGCUCCAAUCUUAUGCAAUCACUUUCAAUGGAGAACAUAAAGCAUUUGAAAGAAGUUGUACUUCCAUCAGAAGGUGUGCAAUACUUAAUAUCCAAAGACAUGGAUGAGUUACUAAAGAUUUCUGCUGCUGAUAAAAGGUCCUUAUUCUGGAACUGCAUAAUUCAUUCAUUCAAUCAAUUGCUAAGUGAGAAAUCAUAUAUUUUUUAUGGUUUCUGAUAUUUUUAUCUGUUUAACAAAUAAACCAUAUACAGAAUUAUGAUAGCAUUGAUUGAUUGAAUAUCAAUAUUUCGUUUUAUAAAUAAAGUGUGUCCUUUUUUUAUGUCAUUUCAACAGGGAAGAGCUGAAGGUAUUUUCUAAGGAAGUCAUUCGCUUUGGAAAUCGAUGUAAAGAUCCUCAAUGGCACAACUUGGAGCGCUAUUUUGACAAGUAAAAUUCCAAACUUUAUUUUAUAGAAUUACCUAGAUGAAUUCAGUUGUCCACAUAAUUCAUAGAUCUUAUGUUCAUUAAUGUUAGACUAGCAUCAGAACUUACACCUCAAAGUCAGCUGAAAGAAGUAGCAAAAACAGCGAUGGAGCAACUGAUGACAUUGGCUCAGUAUACAGCUGUGGGUACUUAUCUUCACUAGUUGAUUGUUGUAGGAAGUAUUCUUCUCUUCCUAUUAGCAUAAUAUGAUAGUUAUCAUUUGUUAUCAUGUAUGCAAAUUAGCUAUGCCAACUAUCAUGCUCAUGUCAGGUAAUGGUUUAUGCUUAUUAUGCUUUAGGUUUUUGUGGACAUGCUUGAGAUUAUGUGCUUUUUUGUAGUAGAGGAAUUGUGCACCGAAAGUAGAUGGUUUGGGAACUCAAGGAUUGUUAACAAUUAAAACCAUGAGCAAAUUAGGUUUUCCACAUAUUUCUUUGUUUAUAAAAUGAGAAGUUAUCAGCCAUGCAUCGUUCUCUCAAAAGGAUAUUUCUCUUGGACUUGGUGUUGUGGUUCCAAAAUCUUAAAACCGUAGUCCAUCAGAAACUAUGCCAUUGUGCUUCUGAAGAAAUAAGUUAUAUUUUUCAAGGUAUGCCCCUACCAAGCAUGCUAUAUUAGUCUGUUCAACUUUUGUCAUGGAAAUUUGCAUGCCUGUGCUUGUGGCAAUGCGAUUGGCAUGUAUCAGUCAGCAGAGUAUCUAGUUCUUGGGAAUCAGUCAUGCAAGACAUUUUAUGAUAUUGGUACAUGAAACAUGAUGAUUCUUGGUCCUUUCAACUUUUGUCAUGGAAAUUUGUGUGUGUACAUGCUUCUGGCAAUGCGAUUGGCAUGUAUCAGUCAGCACAGUAUCUAGUUCUUGGGCAUCAGUCAUCCAAGCCAUUUUAUGAUAUUGGUGCAUGAAACAUGAUGAUUCUUGGUCUUCCAAGAAAUGUCAUUGUGAUUAUAUAAUUUUCUUUGGUAGUUGAAGUCACAAUUUUUCACUUACAAGAAAGAAUGGAUGUGGCCUGAUCUUGAUCCUCUUCCAUCAUCCUGGGUUAUAGCCAAAGCCUGAAGGCUUGAAGAUUAGUAUUCUUGAUCUUAUAAAAGGCUCAACUAUGGGUCAGCAUGGGACAGUCUGUGCAGCACUUCAAUGCAUCAAUCUGGUAGAAUUUAGUGCAGAAGAGUCUAGUCCAAUGUGGUGAGUGUUGGUAUACAAUCCCUUAGUCAAAGGAGAACUCCUACAUGAACUGACCAACUCAAUAAUUAUAAAAAAUGAGGGUAGAAAAGAGCUUCCCAAUCCAUUCCCUGUCAACUUCGAUAAGGAGAGAGUGACUAGGCCUCCUAACCAACUUUAAUAGUAAUAUGACAGGGUAUUCUUUUCAUUGCUGGUUUUCAUCAUUCUUUUUAGUAUCUAAUUUAAUUAGUUAAAAGGGUCCUGUUUUAAGUCUAAUUGUAACACUUUGAUUAGUCCCACAUCUGAAGUGGGCAAGAUUAAAAUUGGCUUAUGAGGAUCUGAUGAGUGAACUACUAUUAUUUUCAAUUUAAAUAUUUUGAUCAGUAGUAUAGAUCAAAUGAAGUUGAUAAGUCAGUUAGCCCAUUACUCUCGGGUUGUGACACUAUUCAACAUCUUAAAGUCCUAAAGUGAGUAUAGUGCAGGUUAAGCUAGUUAUUUCAAAAUUAGGUUUUAUAUUUUGAGAAGUCUAAAUGUUUGGAUAAGUUUUUCUUCCAAAACUCCUAUAAUAGAUUUCUUUUUAAAGGAAUUUUGAAGGGGUGAUGAGACAAACUUUUCUACUCACAACUCAUAUACUACGAGAUCAUGUAAGCCCUUUUGGGAUGGUUGAAUGAUGUUCCUCCUAGCCCCAUAUUUGCCUAGCUUCCUCUCUCCCUCUAUGGUCUAUUUGGAGGAACAGUUUGCAUGAAAAAGGCUCUAACUAGGAGGAGAGACAUCCUAUCAGCAGACAAACAAGAGAAUGUUCAAUUUAUGUCUAACAAAGCAGCUCUAUAUAGCAUUGUAUGGGAUCCAUACACAACCUAUGAAAUUCUACUUGUGUUUACUUGGAAGUUGAUUGAGGAAUGCAUUUUAGUUUUGAAUUCUUUCAACACUCAAUUUGACAAGUCAGUACUGUUGUUAAAGUUUUUUUAAGGGGUACUGGAUCAGUGAUCUCUCUUAUUGUUAUAACAGAUGAGUCACAAUGUGUAUCUAAAUGAUUUCUAACUUGUACAAUAUAUUCAUUUUUAGGUGAACUUGAUUAUUAUGUUUAGGUUUCUGCUUGAUUCUUGAAACUAUUCUUGCUAAUUUCAUUUAUGUUUGUAUAGGAAUUAUACCAUGAGUUGCAUGCCUUGGAUAGAUUUGAUCAAGAUUAUAGGAGAAAAAAUCAAGAAGAGGGUAGCACAGGUGGAGUUCAAAGAGGUCUAUUUCUCUUCUAAAGUGUCGUAUUGUCAUUUAUCUUUUUGUUGCUAGAAUUUUCCUUUUUAGAUGAACAUUUGGACAAGCAUAGCUAUCUUUGGGAGUGUUAGGUAAUUCUUUGAAAUACAAAUUUGAUUCUUUUUAUUGCUUCCAUUCACAAUAUCCAUCUUCGCUGGGUAAGGACUUUGUUUAUCUAAUUUCUGAUUAUGGUAUAUGUUUAAUGGUGCUAGAUUACUUAGAGGUACUUGUAUGCAUCUGUUUAUUUAAAAAGUAUGAUAGUCAUAUUAAUAUUUUGGAUAACAGAGGGGGUAGUAGAUCCUUUUAUUUUGUCUAACAAAUUAGUUCAGAUAUUCUAUGUAAGCUCUUCUAUAUAUCCAUUAAUCUAAGUUCAUGAUUUUUUUAUUUAACAUCACCAAUCUUACAACCUGCACUGAUUGAAGAAGACCAAUAGUGAACUUCCAUUCUGCUGGCACUUUGUUCUACUUCCAUUCUGCUGACACGUUGUUCUACUUCUACCUAGCUGCUUCAUCCUCUCAUCUAACAUCAAUUAUUUCUCUGCUUACUCUCUUCUGGCAAUCGAAGGUCAGUCGAGAUACUAUGGCAGCUCCUGAUCUCUUAUAAUGUUACAUCUAAUUACUCAAUUUUGCAGUCCAGAGAACCUUCACCAGAUGUCUAACAAUAACUUUUUUAUAUCUAAUUGCCUCCAUCAAAUUUGGUGCUCUGCUCUGCAGAGUCAAAGCUCCAGCUGCACCAGUAGCUAUUGUAUGGUAAAAAUAUAUGCCAUGUAAAAUUUAUUAUAAUGUCAAAGCUCCAUCUUCAUCUGCACCAGCAACUAUGUUAAAUAUAUUCAGUGUCAAUAUCACUUUAAUUAUUAUAGGAAAUUAACUGAGAGUUGCCAUGAUGCUGAGUAGCUGCAUGUAACACAGAAACUUGUUUACAUGUCAAUCUUCUUCCUUGCUGUCGGACAUCGAGGUUUGCUUAGAUGCAUAUUAUCUGGGAGUGUGCCAUAAGGGACAUUUGACUGAUUUGAGAUAACCUGAUAUUAUGCCUCAUCAAGUACUGCAAAAAUCUGGCUGAUUUGAGAUAACCUGAUAUUCUGUAAGAAUCAGAUGACUUGGUGUUUUUAACAUUUAUUUUAUUCGUUGACUCAUAUUUGUGAUGAUAAUGUUUGGAGAUAAAACCAAAAAUUUCACAGGAAAUGUUAUAUUCAUAACCACCAUUUAAAUGUCAUGUUUUUAAUGAUUAUGUAGGUGAUACUCUCCAAAUGUUAAGGCAAGAAUUGAAGAGCCAAAGAAAGCAUGUAAAAUCAUUAAAGAAAAGAUCACUCUGGUCCAAGAAUUUGGAGGAGGUAAGUUGGUACCAUUGACAUAAUAUUAUCAUGGAUGAUUGUCAGCGGGUAAUGUUAUUGCUUAUUGGUGGUAUAUCAUGUUUUUUUAUAAUGACACUAUUAUCUGCCCAUAUAAUAUAAAGAACCAAAGUCUUUUUUGUUUUUGACAAAAAUCUGAUGUUUGUUGUAGAUGUUAGAAGUUAUGUUGCCCUUUUGGGGGAAAAUUUUGACAUUGUUCUAUUGUAGGUGCUGGAGAAGCUUGUAGAUAUUGUCCAUUUCUUACACUUCAUGAUUCAUGAUUCCUUUGGAAGUGCUGGUACUUAAAUUUAAAGUUGUCUCAGUUCCAUUUUGUAUUUCCCUUCACUAGCUUCGACAUCAUUAACUUGCUUAUUUAUUUAUUCAUAAAUUCUCUUGUGAAUUAAUUGUAAUCUUCAAAAACAUAGUUUCUCAUAUCUUUUACACAUCUGCAGUUUUGUGGUAGGCUUUACUAUAUUGGAUUUACAGGUUGACUUACCCGUAAUGUCCAAUUUAUCAUUUUGGGUUCACUUAGAUUUUGUUAACAGUGAAUUGUAACUAACUGAUAUGUUUCAAUUAACUUCUGGCAUGACCCACUUGAAAUGAGAACAAGAAAUCAAACUUUGAAUAUUAGUAAUCACUGGACCCUGCUUGGAUCAGUAUAAAACAGAUACUGUGUCAGCACCUGGAUGACCAGUGAUAUGGCCAGUAAGCUGACAAAAAUUCAAAAAAAGUAGUCCAGAAUCAGGAAGAAAACAAGCUUUAUUCUCCAUGAGAAAAUAAGGGUGUAAAUAAAACCAUAUUAGUUCUUCUGCUACUGCAGCAGCAGGGUGGUCAUGCUUGACAAGGAGGCUAGGUCUUUUUCUUUAGGAGCUGGUUGGUGUGGUGGGGAGGGAUCACCAGGAAUGAGAGGGGUCGAUGGAAUUUUGGGGCCCUGCUGAAAAAUGAGAGCUUGUUUCAAAUAGUUUUGUGGCUUUUGCCUGACUAUCACCUAGUGUUGUUGAUAUGGGUGCUAUGGCUGGUACCAACCAACAUACACAGUUUUACUACCAAUAUUUAGGUGGUGGUAUGAGCAAACAGCUUAGCAUAGGCCUGCCAUAUUGGAAUUUAUUUGGCUGAUAAAUACUGGCUGGUAAAUAUGUACCAGCUGGUAUUUUUAUAAUUGAUAAGAAGUAAUACUAAUUCUUUACUAUAUAUAAGUUGAUGAGUUUGUAUUUAUUUAAUAGAGCUAGUCUUGCCCUUGGUUAUUAUUUUAAUAUGGAGGGAUUUGUUUCAGUUUUUAAUGUGCUUUAUCUUGGAGACUGAAUUGCUAUGAAAUCUAUAUUAAGGAAGAAGUUUGCACCAAGGAAAAAUCUUAACUUAUUAGGUACAAGGCAAUCAUAUCUGAUGCAAAAUUUGGAGGACUACCACAGAGCAAUUAGAAGAAAAUAAGGAUGAAGACAGAGUAAACAAAGACUUGAAUUCACAAGUAGGGAAGCAGGUUUGUUAUGUUUAUUUAAGGUGAUAGCCCUGGCAUUUUGCAAUCACAAAACAAGUUGAUUGCAAACCUACCCUAGGUUAUCCAUAUGAACCUCCAAUAUUAACCUAAGUAGAUUGCCAGUUGGACCUCAAAGUUUCCUUAACCAUGAUUGCUAGCUCUAUGCAUGCACACUUAAUGUUGUAUGUCGGUAUGUCUAACCUUUCUUGUAGACUAUAAUGCCCAGAGCCUUAUGCACUGAGUGGCAUUUUGUCUUUUGACACUUCAUGAUGGAUAUUUAUCUUGAACUUUUGAACUAUUCUAAUCUAAAGGUCUUGUGGGUAAACUCUUGUUUUUCAAGGUGCACUAGACAUCCUUAUGAUUCUCAUAUCCUGGUACCUGGAUAUUCAAGUUAAAUGUAUUUCUUCACCAAUGAAAAUAUCUCUUGGAAUAUUAGUUAUAAUUAUCAACAUAACUUUUAAUGCUUUAGCAAAUAAAUAAUUUUCUGUUAAUUGUGCAAAUAUUUCAGGAUGUUGCUUUAAGCAUCAUUCCAUUUAUCAAUCCUUUUUUGGUCAUUAUGCUUGAAGUAUCAAGAUUGCUGGCCUUAGUUUCAUAGCACAAUUCUUUUCAAUUUUCAUUACUUGUUCAAGUAACAUAGAUAAAAAGGUUCUUUUGCACUAGCAACAAAAGGCUAAAAGGAUUUACGACACCACUACUUCUAGUUCAUGUGAGGUUGGUUGUUACUUGUACAUGCUAAUUGUUUGCUCUUGCUGAAUAUUUUUUUUAAUUAUAAAACUUUAGAUACUGAUAAACCAACAGAAGAGACUAUGAAGAAUCAAGAAAGAUUGGGACCUGCUGGCCUGGCACUACAUUAUGCAAAUAUCAUCACUCAGAUAGACACCCUUGUGAGUCAUUGGCUUCAUCUGGAUUCCUAAGACAUCCAAUAUUGCAUUUUCUGCUUUACACUUUUAUUCGGUGCUUAACAUUUUUUUAUUACAUGGAAAAUGUAUCAUCCUUUAAGUUCUUUCUUGAAAUAUUUUUGAAGUUGCUUAGAAUCACAGUUGCCUAUCUAGACCAGUGUUUCUUAAUCUUGAUACAGUUAUUUUGUCAAUUUUUUUUUUCUUUGUAUACUUCCAGUCCAGCCAUCCAUGUUGGCUGAACACCUAAACGGCACAUAUUGUCAUGCCAUGCCAACACUUGGCAUGCAGUGUUAUGCUGGCCCAUUGGGAAGCAAAAAAAUACAAAAUGAGAAAGAACUGAUCAAGAUGCAUCAGCCCUUUGGUUCUCUCCUCUGAUGCUCCAUUCUCUCUUCCGUCACUGCCUUCAUGGUCAGACAGGUCGUGCUCAUGUUCUCUUGGGAAGUGAAGCAGUUGCAGGUUCUCAAAGCCUAUACACAACUUGUCUCAAGUAAAAUUUGGAAUGGACUAUUUGGUUCAGCCUGGGAGAAACCUGGUUCAGUUCCUUUGGAACUUGACACUAAAGAUACCACUAUGCCCUGCUCAGUACCCCUAGUUUUUCAUGUUGCAGGUGUCGGACUGAAGUGGUUCAACUCAUGACUUUGGUAGUGUUGAGUUACCAUGAAACAUUCCUUGUUCACCUCCCAGUAGCUUUUGUAGACUAUGUUCAAAAGAUGAAUUCCCCACUACAAUUAUGGUUAAACCAUUUAAACUUGUGAAUAGCCUAUGAUAACUAUCUCUGUUGUGAACUAGUAAUUGCUGACAAAGCACCAUUUAUGGUGCGCAAGAUCUGCAUCACAAAAAUCAUUGAGUGUUGAAAUUAUCUUGACAAAAUGCAUAUGAAUGUGAUAAAUGUUUACAUGUGUUUUUAAACCUUGGUAUCUGCUAACCAUUAGUCAUAAGUAGGUCUCUCGGUCAAGCUGUGUACCAACAAAUACAAGGGAAUCACUAUACCAAGGACUGCCCCCAACAAUAAAACAUGCAUUCCGUUCAAGGUUGCAAUCAUUUCAAAUCAAGGAAGAGGUACUUGAUUGUUAAAAAUCUGUAGCUCACUCUGCUAAAGAAUUCAUUAUUAAUUUGGUGGUUAGGCAGUAAUACAAAAUUUAGUGAAGAAAUUAUAUUUUUUGGUUGCAUGCUUAUGUUUUCUUUAACUUUUGCAGCUUACCAUUCCUCAAAUCAGAGCAGAGAUGGAAAUAUCUUUGCGGUGGCUUGUGCCAAUUGCCAACAACACAACCAAGUAAUUUAGUUAACCAUGCAAUUAAUCCUCCGACUUCUAAACUUUCCUAGUGAUGUGUGCUUAUAUUUGCAUUAAUUGCUGCAACUUAUACAGGGCUCAUCAUGGUUUUGGUUGGGUCGGCGAGUGGGCUAACACCGGGUAAGAUUUCAAAGUGUGAUUACUUCCAUCUCUGGUUUCUUUUAUCAGCUGAUCAGUGCUGGCCUUGUGUUACACAGUAUUUCUGGCUCGUCCAUGUUGGAAAAUUUAGAUGAUUGCAUAUCUUUCAGGUCCGAGGUAAACCGAAAGCCAUCAGGUCAGAUAGAGUUGAUGCGGAUGGAGACAUUCCAUCAUGCGGACAAGGACAAGACCGAAGCCUACAUUCUCGACUUAUUGAUGUGGCUUCACCAUCUUGUCCGUCGCUCGAAGCCUGGGAGUGGAGGGAUCAGGUCUCCGAUCAAAUCCCCAGUUUGUUCUCCGGCACAGCUCUUAACCACAACGUCGCCGGCCACAAAACCUAGUGUGCCAUCUUCCAUGCUCACCCAAGAAGACCAAGAAAUGCUGCAGUGUGUGAACUUCAGGAAGCUAACUCCUGGAAUCAGCAGGAGUCAGGAGUUUGACACGGCCAAGACGAAGUCAGGCAAGCACAGCAGGUUGAGCAAGAGCAACAGCCAUUCACCAACCAGCUGCAGCAAGAAGGAUUUCUUCGUGCCAUGGUUGCUUCCUGUCAUCGACUUCGACAUCGACAAGAUGAAAGCGCUCGAUAUGAUCGAUCGAUUGGACGACAUCAGAAAACCAUGAAGUAUCAGCAAAACAUGAUCCCACGAUCAAUGAGGCCGUCACAAUCCACAGCGGCCAUAUGUCAUCGACACGGUGGCCAUGCAAUAGAAGACUCCUCGCACCAACGAUGAAGAUGGUGAGUACAGUUAGGUGGUGUACCAUCAGAGUCAAAAAUGUUUGAAUUGGUGUGAUAUAUUAUAUAUUACAUUUACAACGCUUCUAAAUGUUUCUUAAGGACAAUCUUGUCGGGAAUUCACAUAAUAAACAAUAAUGAUUAAUAACUCCAUUCACCACCGACAGAAUCAAUGAACAGUGGAUGACUAUAUCUGAGCCAUGACAAGAUGUGGUGUUAAUGAUCCGAUCUCCGACAAACCCACCCCUUAUCUUGUGUUGUACUGUCUUCUAUAUAAAAAGCUUACCAUGCUACCCAAAUCAAACCACUCCACCAAUGAUCUCACAACAUUGCAAUCCGCUCGAGGAAUUAAAAUAUAUAUAUACACACACACAGAGGAGCUAAUUAGACUACAGACAACAACAACAGUACAUCAAUCAUCAUGUGUUCCCAGUGAUCUUGAUCUCAUCUCAUGUGUUGACGGUUCUUGUUAGGCCAACUUAUUCCUUCUAUAUCAUAUUAAGUUCCUAGCUAUAGAGAAAGGAAACAAAGGAAAAGGGCCGUGGUAGGGACAAUAACUAUUAAUCACACGGUACAUUGCAUGCCUCACGAAGCAUUAUUUCUUUGGACCGGGUCGGUGACUAAUGGGCCGGCGGUUCAAUGGCCCGUACGAAGCGCCGGUUCGGAUCGCGGGCCGGGGGACGUGGACGGCCGACUCCGCCACGGCGCACGUCGCCUUGCACGAGGCGUGGAGACCGAAGAGACCGAGGCGGUCGGAGAUGAACGACGACGCGGGGCCCCUUCGGGGCCGGUCCACGGACGAGGCUCUCCGAGAGAAGAGCUCCUCGAUGGAGGGCCCCCGCGGGGCCUUGGCGCACUCCGCGAGCGCGGCCGCGAAGGGGUCGGGCGCGACGGCGGCGGUGGCGGGGGCGGGGGAGGCGCGCUUCUUGCGGGAGCCGGCAGGGGUGGGUCGGAGAGGGGGGAGGGAGGGGGGAGGAGGGGGGAGGAGGAGGAGGGGGGCCGACGAGCGGGCGGGGGUCUUGGGGAUGCCCGGCCGGUGCUCCCAGGAGAACGGGACGGCGGAGGAGGAGGGGCGGAACGGGGAAGGCUGGCGGCUGGCAACCGUCACCAGCGUGCUUCGCCGUGGAAGCAGCCGACCGAAGGGCGGAGAUCCGGCGUCCAGGUCCAUUGAGGCCAACGGCGGUGACCACAUCGCCGCUAACGCUGAGAAGGUGAAGAGAGAGGUAAGGGUGCGAGUACAGUUGCAGGGAAAAUGGAGUGGGUAUAUAAAGACGCGGAAGAGGGAAACUCUGCACGAAUCAUG
rnacentral:lncRNA from 1 species